UACGAAGGGACCUAGCGUAGUUCGGAAUUACUGGGCUUAAAGAGUUCGUAGGUGGUUGAAAAAGUUGGUGGUGAAAUCCCAGAGCUUAACUCUGGAACUGCCAUCAAAACUUUUCAGCUAGAGUAUGAUAGAGGAAAGCAGAAUUUCUAGUGUAGAGGUGAAAUUCGUAGAUAUUAGAAAGAAUACCAAUUGCGAAGGCAGCUUUCUGGAUCAUUACUGACACUGAGGAACGAAAGCAUGGGUAGCGAAGAGG
rnacentral:rRNA from 1 species